rnacentral:tRNA from 1 species
GAGUCUAUAGCUCAGUUGGUAGAGCACCGGCCUUUUAAGCCGAGGGUCGUAGGUUCAAAUCCUACUGGACUCA